UUCAGUCCAGGGCCCGUCUGUCUGCACAGCUAGCCUGUAAUGCCCACACACUGCUUGAGACGAUGCAGCAGAAUCGCAUGGUCCACUGUGUCAAAGGCAGCUGACAAGUCUAAAACCAUCAGGAUGGCAGGACUAUCUGAGUCAGCAGCUAAAAUAAAAUAC